rnacentral:rRNA from 1 species
CCUACGGGAGGCAGCAGUCGGGAAUAUUGCGCAAUGGAGGAAACUCUGACGCAGUGACGCCGCGUAUAGGAAGAAGGUUUUCGGAUUGUAAACUAUUGUCGUGAGGGAAGAAAUUGACAGUACCUCAGGAGGAAGCUCCGGCUAACUAUGUGCCAGCAGCCGCGGUAAUA